rnacentral:rRNA from 1 species
UAGGGAAUCUUCCACAAUGGACGCAAGUCUGAUGGAGCAACGCCGCGUGAGUGAAGAAGGUCUUCGGAUCGUAAAGCUCUGUUGUUGGUGAAGAAGGAUAGAGGCAGUAACUGGUCUUUAUUUGACGGUAAUCAACCAGAAAGUCACGGCUAACUACGUGCCAGCAGCCGCGGUAAUACGUAGGUGGCAAGCGUUGUCCGGAUUUAUUGGGCGUAAAGCGAGCGCAGGCGGAAUGAUAAGUCUGAUGUGAAAGCCCACGGCUCAACCGUGGAACUGCAUCGGAAACUGUCAUUCUUGAGUGCAGAAGGGGAGAGUGGAACUCCAUGUGUAGCGGUGGAAUGCGUAGAUAUAUGGAAGAACACCAGUGGCGAAGGCGGCUCUCUGGUCUGCAACUGACGCUGAGGCUCGAAAGCAUGGGUAGCGAACAGGAUUAGAUACCCUGGUAGUCCAUGCCGUAAACGAUGAGCGCUAGGUGUUGGGGACUUUCCGGUUCUCAGUGCCGCAGCAAACGCAUUAAGCGCUCCGCCUGGGGAGUACGACCGCAAGGUUGAAAC